ACUAGGGCUGGUAGCGGCACCGUCCUGUGCCGGCUCUGCCGCAUCCAUUAUUAUUGCUUCUAUCCAGAUUCAUCCUCUACCACCACCCAUCUUCUUCCUUGAGCUUUCUUUUUGCCCUGCAUCUCUAGUGGCAGGAGGAAGGCGAAAGUGUUGCUGGGUCAGCUUGACGUGCCAGUAGCGCCGGGCCAGCCGCUCGCCACUGCGGCACCUUCAGGCUCGAGUGAUAGUCCAACUGCUCACCGUCGGCCACUACCAUGUCGACCUCAUCUUCCAGCACACAAUCGAAACCCAUGCAGCAGAUCCGCCCUCUAGUGCCGUGCCCGGCGUGCGAUUCUACAUGUGCUGCCAAUACAGUGACGGCGGCUGCCCGUUCUUCAAGUGGCAGGACAUUUACGGGACGACCUACAACACCAUCAGCAGCUCGUCCAUGCAGCGGCAGUAGCACCCAGCCGAUGUAACCACAAUCGGGGAUCAGCCAUUCAGCUGCACCCUCCACAGGCAGCUCCCGCCACUCUGAAGGUCCUGGAGGGGCAUCCUGUCCAGGCCGCACCGCCGGCCGCCGCAGGCCGCGCAAAUGAUCAUCAGGCCUCUGUUGCGCCUCCUCCAGGACCGGUCCUCCGCCUAGUCGGUUUAGUCGGCUAACAUGGCGUUCAUUACUAUGAUGAUUUCUGUACUACCGGCACAGAGAAAAACCACAUAUGUACCUCCAGAACAGAGUAACCGUCGUCGGAUGUCCUCUCCCACGUCCGUCAAUCCCUGUGGGACCAUACCUAGUCGUACACUACA